CCAACCGAUGUAGUCGGAACAUUAAAUAUAUUCAAUUUCCAUCGGCCUAAGAUUUUACCGACCCAAGUCCAUUCUUCAUUUAGGGUAAUACGUAAUUGGGAUUUUCAUUGUUACUCAGACCUCAAUCCUCACUGUUGCCUCUCAAUCUCUCACUACUCAGUACUUACAAGGGCCUCACUGUUGCCUCUCAUUCUCACAAAUGCUGCUCAGGAAUCAAGUGUCAAAAGAAGAAACGUUGCUGGCUUGCUGCUCAACAGCUCAAUCAAGUGUCAAGAGACGAAAUUCCGUGGGUUUUCUGCUUCUUGGAUGAGUUGAUGAGCAAUGAGUAGCUAUUCUUUGGCUUGUCUCAGGCCCUUUGUAAGUUUCCUAAAGUAACAGGUAACCAUGUAACAGAAAGGACGUGGAUUCUCGCUCGUAUUCUAUAUAGUUUCCCAUUUCAGGAAGUUGAAGUAUAUUUUUCCAUCUAGAUAAGGUCCUUUAGCACUUUUGCUUCAAGCCAAGGAAAGUUACUAAUGAGGUUUUGGCUUCGGAUAAUUGAAGGAGGAGCCAAAUUAUGAUAUCCAACAUUAUUCUUCUCAAAAUAGCCCUUGAUGCAUUGUCGUUGCUCUCUAAGGUGCAGCACCAUUGUUGGGUUCAGGGGUUUACAUUUUUCUGGAUCUUUUCUGGUACAAUAACUAGCUCGUGAUUCAGGUGCUUAAAGAAGCCAAGAGUUAUGUGAGAAUGAAAAAUAUGCUUCAAUAAGGGAAAGAAUUUGAGAAGUGAUUGAUAAAGAUGUCCUUCAAACACGUGUUCAUUUUGUUGCACGGACACAACAAUGUUUUGCUGUUAAGGCUAGAGCAGAUGGGCUACUUGAUAUUACAUGAUUUAAUUUCCUUUUUGGAAUUGCCUGGAUAUUUCGAGGCUUUGUAAAAUUGGGUAUGCAACAGAGACGAGUGAAGGAAGCAAUGGGAUUUUUAGAAAAAAAAUUAAGAUUUCUGACUAUAGUAGUCAGAAUAAUUAUAAUUAUUAAACAAUUAUUUAUUAAAAUU